rnacentral:lncRNA from 1 species
GUCAGCAAGAACAGCUGACUGAAAGCAAACAUGCGCAUUGCGUAAUCUCUUUCUCUAUCAUUCUUGAUGUAUAACUAUAAUAUAGUGCUUUCAAUUGUAUUGCGCAUUCAUCAUCCGUACGCAAUAUUUAUUAAAAAUUCCUUGCAUAAAUCUCACACAAUUCAACAAGAAAUGAAUAUGCUGUUAUUAUAAAAGUCAUUAAUUGUUUUACCGUGAUACGAAAAAUUGUAGUCACUAUCGUUCUACCGAGUAACGAACUAUCCAUCUGGCAAGCUUGGUAAUUGUUUCGUUACUCGUUAAUAUCACAUCAGCUGUUUGUUUGUUGUUCGUUGCUUUAUAUAUUUCUAAACGGGAAAAAUUAAUUUGGUGCUCACUUCGUGAAUUUGGAAAAAUUUUGCAAAAUGGAACCUCAAAAGAAAAUACGCAGGAGGGCAAAGCCUAAAAAAAAUGGAGUGAGGAGGAAAACCAUUUGGUUCUAGAAUAUUUAAUACGUCUUUUUAUAGAAACCAAACGCCCAAUUGUACUACCGAAAAUUAAUUCAAACAACAAAUAUCAAUGCGACUACGGACAUGUUGCGCUGCAAGGUCCGGUUCUGGAAGCAGAUGUAUAAUAAAGCAUAAGCACAGGUGCUGGAAUAGACGUUGGCGAUCAUGUUUCCUCAAUAAAAGGUAAAUACGGCUAUAAUGUUAAUUGAAACUUUUUUGGUUUUUUAAUAAUUCUCCGUUCUUUCCGCAAAACUUUCACAAAUGUGUCUGAAUUAUAAACGGUUUUCGGUUCUAUUUGGGAGUAAAUCCGAAGCCAAUUGUGUUGUAGACGUGCAACUCUGAAGUGUCACAAUACUGCAGCGAUUUUGCAGACCUUGUAGAGGUAGUGGAAAAUCCAGCCGAAUCAUCACAAUUAUCUGCGGAAACAUCGGGUUCUCUUAACGACAAAGCAGAACAGACAACAGUAGGAGAAGAGGUAGCAACAGUUCCUCCUACCAUACCAUCGUUCCUCGAAAAAGUGAAAAAACGUGCUCCAAAGAAUAUACAAAAGAAAAGAGAACAGUUUUUUGAGCAACGAAUAGAAAUUGAAAAAGAAAAGUUAAAGCUAGAAUUGGACAGAGAAAAGUUAAAUAAAGAUUUUGAAAUAAAAAAAUUGGAGUUAGAGCAAAAAGAAAGACUCGCACUGAUUGAAAUAACGUACAAAUAUAAUAUAUAACAAUUUUAUAUGUUUUGUAUAAUAAUAUUUAAGAAUGUUUGUGUAAUAAGAAUGAAUUUUAUAUGCAAUUGCUAUGUUGGGUAACAUUUAGAUUAGCAUCCCCGGAUUUCGGGGAUAAAAUGGGUGUCACUGGAAAGGUGGCGUUCUCCAGAUCUCGAAAAUAUAUACAUUUAGUUGCCGCUGA